UGGGGAAUUUUGGACAAUGGGCGAAAGCCUGAUCCAGCAAUGCCGCGUGUGUGAAGAAGGCCUUCGGGUUGUAAAGCACUUUUGUCCGGAAAGAAAUCCUUGGCUCUAAUACAGUCGGGGGAUGACGGUACCGGAAGAAUAAGCACCGGCUAACUACGUGCCAGCAGCCGCGGUAAUACGUAGGGUGCAAGCGUUAAUCGGAAUUACUGGGCGUAAAGCGUGCGCAGGCGGUUUGCUAAGACCGAUGUGAAAUCCCCGGGCUCAACCUGGGAACUGCAUUGGUGACUGGCAGGCUAGAGUAUGGCAGAGGGGGGUAGAAUUCCACGUGUAGCAGUGAAAUGCGUAGAGAUGUGGAGGAAUACCGAUGGCGAAGGCAGCCCCCUGGGCAAUACUGACGCUCAUGCACGAAAGCGUGGGGAGCAAACAGGAUUAGAUACCCUGGUAGUCCACGCCCUAAANGAUGUCAACUAGUUGUUGGGGAUUCAUUUCCUUAGUAACGUAGCUAACGCGUGAAGUUGACCGCCUGGGGAGUACGGUCGCAAGAUUAAAACUUAAAUGAAUUGACGGGGU
rnacentral:rRNA from 1 species